UACGUAGGGGGCAAGCGUUGUCCGGAUUUAUUGGGCGUAAAGAGCGUGUAGGCGGCCAUACAGGUCCGUUGUGAAAACUCGAGGCUUAACCUCGAGACGUCGAUGGAAACCGUAUGGCUAGAGUCCGGAAGAGGAGAGUGGAAUUCCUGGUGUAGCAGUGAAAUGCGUAGAUAUCAGGAGGAAUACCGAUGGCGAAGGCAGGUCUCUGGGCUGACACUGACGCUCAUGCACGAAAGCGUGGGGAGCAAACAGG
rnacentral:rRNA from 1 species